rnacentral:rRNA from 1 species
AGAGUUUGAUCCUGGCUCAGGACGAACGCUGGCGGCGCGCCUAACACAUGCAAGUCGAACGGAGCUUAGAGAGCUUGCUUUUUAAGCUUAGUGGCGAACGGGUGAGUAACGCGUGAGUAACCUGCCCUAGAGUGGGGGACAACAGUUGGAAACGACUGCUAAUACCGCAUAAGCCCACGGUACCGCAUGGUACUGAGGGAAAAGGAUUUAUUCGCUUUAGGAUGGACUCGCGUCCAAUUAGCUAGUUGGUGAGGUAACGGCCCACCAAGGCGACGAUUGGUAGCCGGACUGAGAGGUUGAACGGCCACAUUGGGACUGAGACACGGCCCAGACUCCUACGGGAGGCAGCAGUGGGGAAUAUUGCACAAUGGGGGAAACCCUGAUGCAGCGACGCCGCGUGGAGGAAGAAGGUUUUCGGAUUGUAAACUCCUGUCGUUAGGGACGAUAAUGACGGUACCUAACAAGAAAGCACCGGCUAACUACGUGCCAGCAGCCGCGGUAAAACGUAGGGUGCAAGCGUUGUCCGGAAUUACUGGGUGUAAAGGGAGCGCAGGCGGGAAGACAAGUUGGAAGUGAAAACCAUGGGCUCAACCCAUGAAUUGCUUUCAAAACUGUUUUUCUUGAGUAGUGCAGAGGUAGAUGGAAUUCCCGGUGUAGCGGUGGAAUGCGUAGAUAUCGGGAGGAACACCAGUGGCGAAGGCGGUCUACUGGGCACCAACUGACGCUGAGGCUCGAAAGCAUGGGUAGCAAACAGGAUUAGAUACCCUGGUAGUCCAUGCCGUAAACGAUGAUUACUAGGUGUUGGGGGAUUGACCCCCUCAGUGCCGCAGUUAACACAAUAAGUAAUCCACCUGGGGAGUACGACCGCAAGGUUGAAACUCAAAGGAAUUGACGGGGGCCCGCACAAGCAGUGGAGUAUGUGGUUUAAUUCGAAGCAACGCGAAGAACCUUACCAGGUCUUGACAUCCGAUGCAUAGCACAGAGAUGUGUGAAAUCCUUCGGGACAUCGAGACAGGUGGUGCAUGGUUGUCGUCAGCUCGUGUCGUGAGAUGUUGGGUUAAGUCCCGCAACGAGCGCAACCCUU